CGCCAAUAAAGUAGCCAGAACUCUUGACCAACGCCGGUUAUAGGUUUAAUACAGAAACACGAACACAGAAUCGUUACUGGCAAAGAAAGUGUUCAGAGAAAAUUUUCAACAUUACGUUGUUAAACAUCAUAAAUCUGAAACCUGUAACACAUUUCUACAGGAAUUGACCUGGAGAAUUGAUAAGGAUACAAUCGCUGUAAAGCAAUAAACUUGAGAUAUAUGUUGUGGCUACUUACAGGGUUGCCAUCAACAUGGCUCGAAUUUUUGCUCUAAGAUCAUUAGAAACUUCAGUGGACUCAGAAUGCUGAGAUGAGGCCCUCACCUCUUGGUAUGAUUUUGAUAUAUCCACAGAAGCUUCCCUACUAGCGCCAUCACCACCCUCACUAACUUUCGACUGAUCUGAUUUUGUAAUGAUCUCUCCUUCCUCCAAGUCUGUUUCUCUUUCUGUGCGAGAGCUCUUUCUAUGUUUUACAGAUCUGGAUCGACGCUGACUCUCAUCAUUGGAGGAGCUAGCAUGCUUAUGCUGAUGUCGACAGUUCUGAUGCUCAUCAUCAGAAUCAUGCCUGUGACCAUGUCGGGAGUAUGUAUACUCAUCAGAUGAGCUAUCGUGCUUGCGCCUGCGUCGAGAGCGUCUGUACUCAUCAUCAGGGGAGCUGUCAUGCCCAUGCUUCCUUCUAGAGUGUCUAUGCUCAUCAUCUGAGGAACUGUCAUGCCCAUGCUUCCUUCUAGAGUGUCUAUGCUCAUCAUCUGAGGAACUGUCAUGCCCAUGCUUCCUUCUAGAGUGUCUAUGCUCAUCAUCUGAGGAA
rnacentral:misc_RNA from 1 species